GACGAACGCUGGCGGCGUGCUUAACACAUGCAAGUCGAGCGGUAAGGCUCCUUCGGGAGUACACGAGCGGCGAACGGGUGAGUAACACGUGAGCAAUCUGCCCUUCACUUUGGGAUAAGCACCGGAAACGGUGUCUAAUACCGAAUACGACCACUUCCGGCAUCGGAUGGUGGUGGAAAGUUCCGGCGGUGAAGGAUGAGCUCGCGGCCUAUCAGCUUGUUGGUGGGGUAACGGCCCACCAAGGCUUCGACGGGUAGCCGGCCUGAGAGGGUAACCGGCCACACUGGGACUGAGACACGGCCCAGACUCCUACGGGAGGCAGCAGUGGGGAAUAUUGGACAAUGGGCGAAAGCCUGAUCCAGCAACGCCGCGUGAGGGAUGACGGCCUUCGGGUUGUAAACCUCUUUCAGCAGGGACGAAGCGCAAGUGACGGUACCUGCAGAAGAAGCACCGGCCAACUACGUGCCAGCCGCCGCAGUAAGAC
rnacentral:rRNA from 1 species